rnacentral:rRNA from 1 species
CCUACGGGAGGCAGCAGUGGGGAAUAUUGGACAAUGGGCGGAAGCCUGAUCCAGCCAUGCCGCGUGUGUGAAGAAGGCCUUAUGGUUGUAAAGCACUUUAAGCGAGGAGGAGGCUACUUAGAUUAAUACUCUAGGAUAGUGGACGUUACUCGCAGAAUAAGCACCGGCUAACUCUGUGCCAGCAGCCGCGGUAAUACAGAGGGUGCGAGCGUUAAUCGGAUUUACUGGGCGUAAAGCGUGCGUAGGCGGCUUUUUAAGUCGGAUGUGAAAUCCCCGAGCUUAACUUGGGAAUUGCAUUCGAUACUGGGAAGCUAGAGUAUGGGAGAGGAUGGUAGAAUUCCAGGUGUAGCGGUGAAAUGCGUAGAGAUCUGGAGGAAUACCGAUGGCGAAGGCAGCCAUCUGGCCUAAUACUGACGCUGAGGUACGAAAGCAUGGGGANCAAACAGGAUUAGAUACCCUGGUAGUCCAUGCCGUAAACGAUGUCUACUAGCCGUUGGGGCCUUUGAGGUCUUUAGUGGCGCGGCUAACGCGAUAAGUAGACCGCCUGGGGAGUCGGUCGCAAGACUAAAACGUUAAGAGUAGUAGACGNGAGAGCGNGACGAGGCACAGGGAGGGAG